GGGUUUAUUUUAGACUUCACUCCACUGUCGCCCUCCUCCUCCCAGCCGAACACGCAACCCCGAACAGAGUCGAGCGAGAGAGAGAUAGCCAUGGCGAUUUGGAGCUCCGCCUCACCGCUCGAUCCAGUGUUUUGGUGGUGACUCGUCCACGCUCUCCCUCGUGCUGCCCCGCUUCCUCCGCCUCCCUUCUGUUCCUGCCGGCGGGAUCUGCGGCAUCUCUCGGCCCCGCACCGAUCCGUCCCCAUUUCCGUCGCUGGCGAUUUUGUUCGUCGGAUUCAGUCCCCCCCCCCCCCCCCCCCCCCCUCUCUUUUUGUUGUUCUUGUGAUCUGUUAGGUAGGGAGUUGGUUUUGUCUGUCAGAUUUGAUGAUUGUAUCCAUCCCCCGCAGCUUUUUUCCGUGUAGAUUUGUUUAGGUUGCACCGUUUCUGGGAUGCGUUUGAUUGUUCUGCUAAGCGCGGUAGCUGCCGUAGCUGGGAUGUGUGUCAGUUCGAUGUGCUGAUCUAUAAUUGAUUGGAUGUUGGAGUCCGAGUUGUUCAUGUGAGGCUGGCUUGCUUAGUUGUAGUACUCUGAUGUAUUCAGUCAAUUCGAACGGAUGUAUUCUGUUCCCUGGCCUUUAAUCCCUAGACCAUUUCUCUUCACUGGUAUCGUUUAGUGGGUAUGUGGUUUACUCUGUAAUUUCUAUUUUGGAUUUACAGUGCAAUCCCCAUUGUUUUUUAGAGUGAUUUUCAGUGUAAUUCAUACUGGAUUUUCAUUGAUUUUCACUGUAAUCCGUACUGGAUUUCCAGUGUAAUUUUCUUGUGGAUAGGUAGUAUAUUUGUAGUGUAAAUCCAAAGCAAUUUGUAGUGUAAUCCCCGGUUAUUUUACAGUGUAAUUUCAGUGUAUUUGCACUAUAUUUGCUAGUGGAAUAAUAGUGUAUAUGUCCUAAUUGCAGUGUAUUUUUGUCAGUGGGGUUGCACUGUAUUUGUUAGUGGAAUUAAAGUGUAUUUGUCAGUGAUUUACAGUGUAAUUUGAUAGCUGAUUUACAGUGUAAUUGCCAUGGAUUUGCACUGUAUUCGCUAGUGGAAUUACAGUGUAAUUCACUUGAAUUUUUAUAGUGGAAUUGCGUUUUGGAUUUACAGUGUAUUUGUCAGCAAAUUUACAGUGUAAUUCAUAGCUGGUUUUACUGUGUAAAUUCAGUGUAAUUUACACUUUAAUUGAGUAGCAGAGGAAUUGUGACUGUUCUUGUGAUGCACCGCUAGUUUGUAUGUUCUUGUGAUGCAUCUGAUUCCAGUGUAUUUUCUUGAGGAUUUAGAGUAUAAUUAUAUUCGGAUGUACACUGUAAUCUUCAUCGGAAUUCCAGUGUAUUUUCUUAGUGGGUGAUUACAGUGUAUUUACAGUGUAAUUCUCAAUUGGUUUCCACUGUAAUUCGCAUGGGAUUUCUUCACUAGUGGGUUAUGUAGUGAAAUAAAAGAGAUGUAGACUGUAAAUGCUAUCAAUGCAUUUCUUCUUUAUAUUUUUGUUAUGUUUUAUCCCUUUUGCCAUUUCAUCUCAGACAUUUUGUCCUUUUCUUUGUGUUUGUACAUAUUUAGGUUAUAGAUUAAAGUAUGGGGAGACUCAUGAAGGCUUUUGGUAAGGGCACUUCUGCUGCUUGUGUUCAAGAUUGUGAUGAUUCAGAUGGGGAUCCUUUUGUCCCCAAUGAUUUUGCUGAGGAUGAUCCUUUUCAAGAUUCGGAGGAACGUCAAAUGGAUGAUCAUGAUUUCGAGAAAGUCUUAGGCUAUGCUUUUUAGCUGCUUUUUUCUAGUCUGGCUCUGAUAAAGAUGGGGAUUGUUUUCUGCUACUAGAAAGCCAUAUGUUAAGGAAAUCAAUUUCAUCUUCAUUGAGAUUGUUUUUCAGUGGACCAUAAUACCCCUCCGUUAGUCUGUAUGCAACACUGGAAAAAACCUAACCCAAUAAUCUCAUCAAGUCCAGAGAUCACCAGCCUUGGCGUCAAGACCGGCUCCGAGGGCGAGGUCUGACGACUCUGCUCCAGAGUCAACGACUUGUCAUGGCCGAGCUGUACAUGAUCAGCAAUAUGCCAAGACGGGCAUGUGUUACACAGAGAGAGGGAUCUUGAACGUGUUAGCGAGUUGAUGUUUUGGUUACGCAGGUCGGCAUGCAGUUUAUGUGCGGCCGAAAUACCAAAUCAUGCACCUUGAAAAGAUACUCCGUUCAACAUCUAAAAUCUGCACGAGUGUCGUGUCAGUCAACAAUUUCGCGGUAGCAGUACUAUCGAACUUACCUUCCCAAUUCACUUGGCAGUGCAAUACAAAGAACAUGUUUGAGGUUC